rnacentral:rRNA from 1 species
UACCGGCGGCUCGAGUGGUGGCCGCUUUUACUGGGCUUAAAGGGUCCGUAGCUUGAUUCACAAGUCCCUUGAGAAAUCCAUCGGCUUAACUGAUGGGCGUUCAGGGGAUACUGUGGUUCUAGGGACCGGGAGAGGUGAGAGGUACUGCCGGGGUAGGAGUGAAAUCCUGUAAUCCCGGUGGGACGACCUAUGGCGAAGGCAUCUCACCAGAACGGCUCCGACAGUGAGGGACGAAAGCUGGGGGAGCAAACCGG